GGGGGCGUAGCUCAGUUGGGAGAGCGACGGCUUUGCAAGCCGUAGGUCGUCGGUUCGAACCCGUCCGCCUCCACCA
rnacentral:tRNA from 2 species